rnacentral:misc_RNA from 1 species
AAGGAUCAUUAAAGAGUAAGGGUGCUCAGCGCCCGACCUCCAACCCUUUGUUGUUAAAACUACCUUGUUGCUUUGGCGGGACCGCUCGGUCUCGAGCCGCUGGGGAUUCGUCCCAGGCGAGCGCCCGCCAGAGUUAAACCAAACUCUUGUUAUUUAACCGGUCGUCUGAGUUAAAAUUUUGAAUAAAUCAAAACUUUCAACAACGGAUCUCUUGGUUCUCGCAUCGAUGAAGAACGCAGCGAAAUGCGAUAAGUAAUGUGAAUUGCAGAAUUCAGUGAAUCAUCGAAUCUUUGAACGCACAUUGCGCCCCUUGGUAUUCCGAGGGGCAUGCCUGUUCGAGCGUCAUUACACCACUCAAGCUAUGCUUGGUAUUGGGCGUCGUCCUUAGUUGGGCGCGCCUUAAAGACCUCGGCGAGGCCACUCCGGCUUUAGGCGUAGUAGAAUUUAUUCGAACGUCUGUCAAAGGAGAGGAACUCUGCCGACUGAAACC